rnacentral:rRNA from 2 species
UACCGGACCUAGCGGCGGACGGGUGAGUAAUGCUUAGGAAUCUGCCUAUUAGUGGGGGACAACAUCUCGAAAGGGAUGCUAAUACCGCAUACGUCCUACGGGAGAAAGCAGGGGAUCUUCGGACCUUGCGCUAAUAGAUGAGCCUAAGUCGGAUUAGCUAGUUGGUGGGGUAAAGGCCUACCAAGGCGACGAUCUGUAGCGGGUCUGAG